rnacentral:rRNA from 1 species
CCUACGGGAGGCAGCAGUGGGGAAGUUUUGGACAAUGGGCGAAAGCCUGAUCCAGCCAUGCCGCGUGCAGGAUGAAGGCCUUCGGGUUGUAAACUGCUUUUGUACGGAACGAAAAGCCUCUUUCUAAUAAAGAGGGGUCAUGACGGUACCGUAAGAAUAAGCACCGGCUAACUACGUGCCAGCAGCCGCGGUAAUACGUAGGGUGCAAGCGUUAAUCGGAAUUACUGGGCGUAAAGCGUGCGCAGGCGGUUUUGUAAGACAGAGGUGAAAUCCCCGGGCUCAACCUGGGAACUGCCUUUGUGACUGCAAGGCUGGAGUGCGGCAGAGGGGAUGGAAUUCCGCGUGUAGCAGUGAAAUGCGUAGAUAUGCGGAGGAACACCGAUGGCGAAGGCAAUCCCCUGGGCCUGCACUGACGCUCAUGCACGAAAGCGUGGGGAGCAAACAGGAUUAGAUACCCUGGUAGUCCACGCCCUAAACGAUGUCAACUGGUUGUUGGGUCUUCACUGACUCAGUAACGAAGCUAACGCGUGAAGUUGACCGCCUGGGGAGUCGGCCGCAAGGUUGAAACUUGAAAGAUUGACGNNGNGNGNGCGAGNGACGAGAGGAG